CGGGGGGAAAAAUUGAUUCUGGAUAUCUUUGCUCGGAUGAAACAACCCGAGCCACGUGACUUUUACUGGCCCAUGCGGGAAUAAAUUUACUGUUUGGUGUAUUGUCAUCUUCCUCUUCGUCUUCAUCAUCUGAACCUUUAUAUGGAGAAAUCUCAUAUGAUUGUUCUCGACUUAAAUUGGAAAUUAAGCUGUCACUAUCCUUGCAAAAGUAGC
rnacentral:misc_RNA from 1 species